rnacentral:rRNA from 1 species
UGAGUACGAGCUGCUACGGCAGCGAAGUGGGUGAUGUCAUGCUUCCAAGAAAAGCCCUAUACCCGUUAAGGCAUGAUGGCCUGUACCCGAAACCGACACAGGUGGGGUGGUAGAGAAUACCGAGGGGCGCGAGGUAACUCUCUCUAAGGAACUCGGCAAAAUGGCCCCGUAACUUCGGGAGAAGGGGUGCCACCGCAAGGUGGUCGCAGUGAAGAGGCCCAGGCGACUGUUUACCAAAAACACAGGUCUCCGCUAAGUCGCAAGACGAUGUAUGGGGGCUGACGCCUGCCCAGUGCCGGAAGGUUAAGGAAGCUGGUCAGCGUAAGCGAAGCUAGCGACUGAAGCCCCGGUGAACGGCGGCCGUAACUAUAACGGUCCUAAGGUAGCGAAAUUCCUUGUCGGGUAAGUUCCGACCCGCACGAAAGGCGUAACGAUCUGGGCGCUGUCUCGGAGAGAGGCUCGGCGAAAUAGAAUUGUCUGUGAAGAUGCGGACUACGUGCACCCGGACAGAAAGACCCUAUGAAGCUUUACUGUAGCUUGGUAUUGUGCUCGGGCUCGGAAUGCGCAGGAUAGGUGGGAGGCUAUGAACCAUUGCUUGCGGGUGAUGGUGAGCCACUGGUGAGAUACCACUCUUUCCGAGCUAGAGUUCUAACAGCCACCCGUUAUCCGGGGGCUGGACAGUAUCAGGUGGGCAGUUUGACUGGGGCGGUCGCCUCCUAAAAGGUAACGGAGGCGCGCAAAGGUUUGCUCAGGCUGGUUGGAAAUCAGCCGACGAGUGUAAAAGCAGAAGCAAGCUUGACUGUGAGACCUACAAGUCGAACAGGGAGGAAACUCGGCUUUAGUGAUCCGACGGUUCUGCGUGGAAGGGCCGUCGCUCAACGGAUAAAAGUUACUCUAGGGGUAACAGGCUGAUCUCCCCCAAGAGUUCACAUCGACGGGGAGGUUUGGCACCUCGAUGUCGGCUCAUCGCAACCUGGGGCUGAAGUCGGUCCCAAGGGUUGGGCUGUUCGCCCAUUAAAGCGGUACGCGAGCUGGGUUCAGAACGUCGUGAGACAGUUCGGUCCAUAUCCGGUGCAUGCGCAGGAAUAUUGAGAGGAUUUCUCCCUAGUACGAGAGGACCGGGAGGAACGCACCUCUGGUGUACCAGUUAUCGUGCCAACGGUAAACGCUGGGUAGCCAUGUGCGGAGAGGAUAACCGCUGAAAGCAUCUAAGUGGGAAGCCCACCUCAAGAUGAGUAUUCCCAUGAGGUAACCCAGUAAGGUCACGGGAAGAACACCCGUUGAUAGGCUCUACGUGGAAGCGCAGUAAUGUGUGAAGCGGAGGAGUACUAAUAGACCGAGGGCUUGAC